GGAGCAGCACAGGUGGUCGCCCGGUCCGGCAGAAACGGGACGGGAGGAAAGUCCGAGCUCCACAAGGCAAGGCGCUCCGUAACGCGGAGUCCCGGCAACGGGAAGGAAAGUGCCACAGAAAGGGAAACCACCCCGAUGAUUCGGGGAACGGGUGAAAAGGUGGCCGCCUCGGCGGCGCCGUCGGGAUACCGGCGGCAGGUAAAAGCUCACCAGUGCCACGGGUGACCGGGCAGCUUGGAAAACCCCGCCUGGAGCAAGGCCAAAUAGGUUCCGCCUUGAGAGGCGCCUCUUCGAAUCCUCGCCUCGGCGGGGAGGCGGAACGGGUUGGGUCGCAUGAUCCCUUCCGGAAGGCAGGGACACAGAUGAAUGACCACGGCUCCCUCCGGGGAGUACAGAACUCGGCUUAUGGGCUGCUCCAGCU
rnacentral:RNase_P_RNA from 1 species